CAAAAGGAAAUGCUACACCUCUUGUCGUCUGUCAAUUGUGGCCAAGUAUAGGCGCCAGGGCCGAAUGCUUGGUUGCGGUUGGAACCAUUGGGCAGCCUAUAGUGGAGAGAAAAGGGAAGGGAGCGAGACGAGAGAUAAUCUCAUCCGCUCGCGAUGUUUAGAUUGGGACAGCGUCUUCUUCCCCGGGCCUCGAGCCUCGCGCCCUUUACAACGGCCGGUUUGAGAGAGUUAAAGGGAGGCCCGGGCUCAAAGUAAACACAAUCUUUGUACUUAAAGUUACUGAGAAGAGUGCACGUGUGGAUGACCGGGUUCGAUUGUUUGUUUUGAACAAUGACUAUGGACAAUUAGGUUAUUUUCAUAAGGGGUGCAGACAUGAGUGGGCCUGGGAGGGCAUAGGUCCACCCACUUGGGAGCCAGGCCCAUCCACUGGGGAGCCAGGCCCAUCCACUGGGGAGCCAGGCCCAGCCACUGGGGAGCCAGGCCCAUCCACAAGGGAGCCAGGCCCAUCCACUGGGGAGCCAGGCCCAUCCACUGGGGAGCCAGGCCCAUCCACUGGGGAGCCAGGCCCAGCCACUGGGGAGCCAGGCCCAUCCACUGGGGAGCCAGGCCCAGCCACUGGGGAGCCAGGCCCAUCCACAAGGGAGCCAGGCCCAUCCACUGGGGAGCCAGGCCCAUCCACUGGGGAGCCAGGCCCAUCCACUGGGGAGCCAGGCCCAGCCAAUCAGAAGGAGGUUUUCCACACAAAAGAGAAAUGAACAUGAAAUGAUCUGCCAACAGCCCUGGUGGACAUUCCUGCGACCCCAGACUACCCCAGGUCCCAGGGGCGGCUCGCUGGCAGAGAAAGAAAUCAUCUCUGUCGCUCUACUCUGGUCUGGACAGAGCUGCUCCUCUGCUACACAUUGGCCUGGGAGUGGAGGAGGAGGAAGCCUUGCUGGUUCCCAAGAGAAAGUGACCCUCAUGGCCUAGAAAUCUAAAUAACCGGUGGCCAUGUUAGCCUUCACUGCAGCUGGCACGGAACACAACAAUGAACCAAUCCAUCAUGGGGUAGAGGUCUGCUGGUACAGCUCAGGGACCAACGUAUCCUACGUGGCAUAUUGUAAACUAUCCUACCUUAUUAUAUAUAUCCUACCUUAUAUCCUGGCCUAUGGUAAACUUUCCUACCUUAUUAUAUAUAUCCUACCUUAUAUCCUGGCCUAUGGUAAACUAUCCUACCUUAUUAUAUAUAUCCUACCUUAUACCCUGGCCUAUGGUAAACUAUCCUAACUUAUUAUAUAUCCUACCUUAUACCCUGGCCUAUGGUAAACUAUCCUAACUUAUUAUAUAUCCUACCUUAUAUCCUGGCCUAUGGUAAACUAUCCUAUCUUAUUAUAUAUAUCCUACCUUAUAUCCUGGGCUAUGGUAAACUAUCCUAACUUAUUAUAUAUCCUACCUUACAUCCUGACCUAUGGUAAACUAUCCUAACUUAUCAUAUAUAUCCUACCUUAUAUCCUGGCCUAUGGUAAACGAUCCUACCUUAUAUCCGGGCCUAUGGUAAACUAUCCUAACUUAUUAUAUAUCCUACCUUAUAUCCUGGCCUAUGGUAAACUAUCCUAACUUAUUAUAUAUCCUACCUUAUAUCCUGGCCUAUGGUAAACGAUCCUACCUUAUAUCCUGGCCUAUGGU